rnacentral:rRNA from 1 species
UACGUAGGGUGCAAGCGUUGUCCGGAAUUAUUGGGCGUAAAGAGCUCGUAGGCGGUUUGUCGCGUCUGCUGUGAAAACCCGAGGCUCAACCUCGGGCCUGCAGUGGGUACGGGCAGACUAGAGUGCGGUAGGGGAGAUUGGAAGUCCUGGUGUAGCGGUGGAAUGCGCAGAUAUCAGGAGGAACACCAAUGGCGAAGGCAGAUCUCUGGGCCGUAACUGACGCUGAGGAGCGAAAGCAUGGGGAGCGAACAGG